rnacentral:rRNA from 1 species
AUUGAACGCUGGCGGCAUGCCUUACACAUGCAAGUCGAACGGCAGCACGGGAGCAAUCCUGGUGGCGAGUGGCGAACGGGUGAGUAAUAUAUCGGAACGUGCCCAGUCGUGGGGGAUAACGCAGCGAAAGCUGUGCUAAUACCGCAUACGAUCUAAGGAUGAAAGCGGGGGAUCGCAAGACCUCGCGCGAUUGGAGCGGCCGAUAUCAGAUUAGCUAGUUGGUGGGGUGAAGGCCCACCAAGGCGACGAUCUGUAGCUGGUCUGAGAGGACGACCAGUCACACUGGGACUGAGACACGGCCCAGACUCCUACGGGAGGCAGCAGUGGGGAAUUUUGGACAAUGGGCGAAAGCCUGAUCCAGCAAUGCCGCGUGCAGGAAGAAGGCCUUCGGGUUGUAAACUGCUUUUGUACGGAGCGAAAAGGUCUCCUCUAAUACAGGGGGCUCAUGACGGUACCGUAAGAAUAAGCACCGGCUAACUACGUGCCAGCCGCCGCCGUAA